UACGUAGGGGGCAAGCGUUGUCCGGAUUCAUUGGGCGUAAAGAGCUCGUAGGCGGCUUGGCAAGUCGGGUGUGAAAACUCCAGGCUCAACCUGGAGACGCCACCCGAUACUGCCAUGGCUUGAGUCCGGUAGGGGACCACGGAAUUCCUGGUGUAGCGGUGAAAUGCGUAGAUAUCGGGAGGAACACCUGUGGCGAAAGCGGCUCACUGGACCACAACUGACGCUGAGGCGCGAAAGCUAGGGGAGCAAACAGG
rnacentral:rRNA from 1 species